GAGCGCCGUAGCAAUACGGAGCGGCAGACGGGAGAGUAACACGUGGGAACGUGCCCUUCAGUUCGGAACAACCCCAGGGAAACUUGGGCUAAUACCGGAUACGUCCGUAAGGAGAAAGAUUUAUCGCUGAAGGAUCGGCCCGCGUCUGAUUAGCUAGUUGGUGAGGUAACGGCUCACCAAGGCGACGAUCAGUAGCUGGUCUGAGAGGAUGAUCAGCCUCACUGGGACUGAGACACGGCCCAGACUCCUACGGGAGGCAGCAGUGGGGAAUAUUGGACAAUGGGCGCAAGCCUGAUCCAGCCAUGCCGCGUGGGUGAUGAAGGCCCUAGGGUUGUAAAGCCCUUUCGGCGGGGAAGAUAAUGACGGUACCCGCAGAAGAAGCCCCGGCUAACUUCGUG
rnacentral:rRNA from 1 species